rnacentral:lncRNA from 1 species
AUUAUAGUCUUUAAGGCUUUCUGUCAAGCUCUCCAUUGGAAGGGGAAGUUCUCAAUAUUCUAAUCCUUCUUGCUUAACCAGGAAGCAAUGAAUGAGGAGGAGGAAAGAGACAAGAGGUUUGCUGUGUGCAAGACUCAGAACUGAGCUUGGGGGCUGACCCGGAGCAGACGUGUAGAAGAGGAAGGUCCUUGUAGAACUGUGGUGAUCACAUCAUGUCCUGGCUAUCAUGCAAUCUAUGUGCUAAUUCGUUUAGCCUGGUUUAUCGCGAAGGCUGAGACGUCAAACCUCGGGGGGUGGAGGCAGCCUGUCCCCACUGCCACGUGGUGCACGAGGAGGAAACAAGGCUCCCCGGCCAAGGUCACCCGUCAGUCAUGUGGCGCCGCUGGAGCUGCUCCUGGGGGCUGCAGGGGGCCUCCCCUGACACCUCCCUGCAGGCUCCCUCCAGCUCACUGCCGGGCUCACACCGGGCCCUGCUCCCUGACACCCAUCUUUCCUCCUGCCCAGCUGCUCGGGGAGGGCCUCUCCCCCACCCGCCUUUUUAUUAAAGGAUCUUUGCCAUUGAAAAGCUAUAUUCUCU